rnacentral:rRNA from 1 species
GGAGGGUGCAAGCGUUGUUCGGAUUCACUGGGGCGUAAAGGGCGUGUAGGCGGAGAUGUAAGCUGGGAGGUGAAAGACCCCCGGGGCUCAAACCCGGGGGAAUUGCUCCCAGAACUGCAUUUCUAGAGAGAGUCAGAGGCAGGUGGAAUUCCAGGUGUAGAGGUGAAAUUCGUAGAGAUCUGGAGGAACACCGGCGGCGAAGGCGGCCUGCUGGGACUCUUCUGACGCUGAGGCGCGAAAGCGUGGGGAGCAAACAGGAUUAGAUACCCUGGUAGUCCACGCCGUAAACGAUGAGCACUCGAUGUGCGAGGUACGACCCCUCGCGUGUCACAGCUAACGCAAUAAGUGCUCCGCCUGGGGACUACGGUCGCGAGACUA